AUCUAAUCCUGUUUGCUCCCCACGCUUUCGUUCAUGAGCGUCAGUAAUAGUUUAGUGAGCUGCCUUCGCAAUUGGUGUUCCAUGUCAUAUCUAUGCAUUUCACCGCUACAUGACAUAUUCCGCCCACUUCAUCUAUACUCAAGAAUAUCAGUUUCAAUGGCAGUUCUACAGUUGAGCUGUAGGCUUUCACCACUGACUUAAAAUUCCGCCUGCGAACCCUUUAAACCUAAUAAAUCCGGAUAACGCUUGCACCCUCCGUAUUACCGCGGCUGCUGGCACGGAGUUAGCCGGUGCUUAUUCUUACAAUACCGUCAAGUUGGUACACGUACCAAGGUUUCUUCUUGUAAAAAAGCAGUUUACAACCCAUAGGGCCUUCAUCCUGCACGCGGCAUGGCUGCAUCAGAGUUUCCUCCAUUGUGCAAUAUUCCUCACUGCUGCCUCCCGUAGGAGUCUGGUCCGUGUCUCAGUACCAGUGUGGGGGAUCACCCUUUCAGGCCCCCUAUCUAUCGUAGCCUUGGUGAGCUCUUACCUCACCAACUAGCUAAUAGAACGCAUGCUCAUCUAUAACCACCGGAGUUUUAAUUAUUAAAUGAUGCCAAAUAAUAAUGUUAUGAGGUAUUAAUCCAAAUUUCUCUGGGCUAUCCCUCAGUUAUAGGUAGAUUGCAUACGCGUUACUCACCCGUGCGCCACUCGUCAUCAAGAGCAAGCUCUUAUGUUACCGUUCGACUUGCAUGUGUUAGGCCUGCCGCUAGCGUUCAUCCUGAGCCAGGAUCAAACUCU
rnacentral:rRNA from 1 species